AUAAGUCCUCCUAUACUGAUACUUUGGUACCAAAUUUACUAGCCUAUUCCUAGCCUCACAUUUGGUCUCACAAUCAAGAGAUUUUGAGGCUAAGGGUAUACUAAACAUUGAAUCAAAGUGUAGUGAUGUUGCUGCUAGAGUUGCUGCCUAUGAUCUCCUCAUUGAGCUCUCAACCGACUGUCUUGCUAACUUGAAGUGUGUAACCAAUAUGUUGAUAGCAAUGCACCACAGCUGGAGACCAAUGAACUCUUCAUGAAGAAUGGGAGUUUUGUCCACUCACUAUUGGCAGAUGUUCCUGUGGUUAUGUUGGUCUUACGAAUGCUUGUCUUAAGAAUGGUCUUAAGAAUGCUUCACUUGUUACAUGAAUACAGUCCUGCAGCAGCUAUACAUGCAGCCAGGGAUAAGAGAGGCUCUACUGGGAGUGGAGAGAGAUGAAGAGGACUCAAGGUAUAGUAAUGUAAUAUUUAUG